CGAAGUAACCAAUCCGCCUGCCGCGCCCUUUCAGCCUUCGCUGAAUCUCGCCGCAAAACAAGGAGGUUUUACGGAUCUAACGUAACUUGGAAAAACCACCUUUCAGCCCCUGCGUGUUUCUCCUCCCGAAGGUCCAGGUGCGCCUGCUCUCUCGUGCACCGCGGUCAUUCCAGGCCGUCCUCUGUCUCAGGCCUUUGUACUUGGGAAGGCCUUCCCUAGAUCCCACCUGUGCUGUAACUCCUCCCUCCACGUUUGCAUUCAUGGGGCACGCGGCAGCCCAGAGCACUCCUUCUCCCGCACCGCCCCAAGCCUUCCCUGGCUUCCCAGGCCGAGGAGCCCUCUCGAUCGCUCCCUCCACGUGCCAGCCUACCCAGGCCCAACACAUUCUGAAAUUUCUUAUUUGUGGUGAUUAUCUGACCCUGACUUCGGAAAGUAAAAUAUAGCGCCACUGAGCACUACAGAACGAGGACAGAAGAGAGGGCGGUGAAGGAUGUUAAGAAAUCACCGUGUCAAUGACUACGUGUUGUGCACCUCUAUUUGCCAGCGCCAGAUCGUGAAGAAUGCAAGGUUGAAUCUGAUCCACAGCGCUUUCCGUGUAGCUCAGUAGGCAAAGGGUCAGAAGUCUGAGCAGUUGUCAGAUCAGUUUGAAGUACGGACCGUCAGUCAGGAUAAAUCAGGGGAGAUCUUUGUUCUCGAUAAAAAUGUUUACCCUUGUUGUAACUACCCAAUGAGCUUUACAAUCUUCUCAUGGGUGCCCCAACGCCAGUAUCAACAUCAGGCUGUAUCAACGCCAGUAUCAAAUUCAGGACUGAAUAAUCUGGCCAUGACUGUACCAUCUCCCCCAACACAGUAGUUUGGAGGCAUUCAGGCUCGACCUUUUAGCGAAGUGCAAGUACUCCAUCGAUUCAGCGGAGACUUUUGAAGGACGAAUUCUCACCUUCUUUGGAAUAAGCAGGCUAUGUUAACCAGGGACAAGGGGUGGGGGCCACACAAAAACCCCACCCUGGAAAUUCUUUUCUCAGAAUUACACAGGUUGGAACUGUAUCCUGGAACCUCAUUCUCAACAGAUAGUUGCCCAGUAGAGCAAAACACACUGUCUCGAAAAUCCAAUAACAAAAUGUUCAUUCAGUGCGUUAUCAUACCUCCCGAGAUAACAAAGGACAUCAAAUCAUCAUCAGCUCUUUCUGCCCAGGCAAUUCGUAUAGCUCCCUUCUCCUUCUGGGCCCGCAGAAGGAGACCACCCACUUCAAAGUCAGCACCACUGGGUUAUUUCCAGAAGAGGGCAGAGGGAUGUGGGUAGUAGUACUGGUUUGUGAUUUUCUGUAAUUCUGACAUUUGGUUGCCCCAAAUGCCUCCUCAAUUAAUCUGGGGAGAGGGCUGGAACAGAAAUGGCUCGAGCCCACUAGACUGUGGUUGGCCCCAGGGGGCGCAACCCUCUGUUCAGACGUUCACAAUAAAAAUCCAGGGACACACUGGCCAUGACAAGGACAGGGUCAAUGUAUGGACAUUCUCAAAUGCAAUACUUGGUUAUUUCAUUGUGCAAGAAAACAUGAUUAUGCAUUUCAAAAUUAAGUCAUUUCUAUAUUUUAAAUUCGUAUUAAUAGAAAUUGAAUGCUAUUUAUUUAAAUAACUUUUAAUAAAUGUUAU